UAGCCCCCUAGUGCGCCCUCUGUAAAGGU
rnacentral:piRNA from 1 species